rnacentral:tRNA from 1 species
AAGAAUAUAAUUUAAUGGUAAAAUAGGAAGCUUCAAACUUCAAAUUCUCAGUUCAAAUCCGAGUAUUCUUG